rnacentral:miRNA from 1 species
GGUCCUGGACCGGGUCCUGGUCCUGGUACGGGUCCCGGUUCUGGUUCUGGUCCUGGACCCGGUCCUGGUUCUGG